rnacentral:sRNA from 1 species
GUUUUUAUUACGAUUAUACCUCAACACGAAUAAUCAUUCCAGUACUGAAAUCUGAUUAUAUUUAGCUGGGUGAUUUGGGCAAGAAACUUAACCUUUCUGUGCCUCCCCUUCUUCAUCUACAAACAAAAAAUCACAGUACCUCAUAGGGUUGUUGUGAGCAUUAAUUAAGUUAAAAUAGGGAAAGUGCUUAGAAGGGUUCCUGACAUACCUUAAUUUCCUGUGUUUUCUAAUGUACACACACACACACGCACACACACACUAGAGUGAAUUCAAACUCAUUUCAUUUGAAUUCAGGCAUUGAGAUGAAGUUCAAGAAUAUGCUGUUUCCUAUGAUUGUCUGCCCAGCCUGGAUCUCUGAGCUGAAUUCGGUAGAACAUGGACCCGAUGGUAUCUCCUUUGGAGCUGCUUGCCCCCUGAGCAUUGUAGAAAAAACCCUGGUGGAUGCUGUUGCUAAGCUU